CGUAAUUUAUUACAGCCAGGGAGAGACCUUCUCACAUACUUCAGUCUGGAGAGAACAAUCUCUGAAACGGUCGCCGAUGCUGUCAAGAAAGCCACUCAGGAGCAGGUAGCAGCGAUUUCUGAGCUAAAAGAGCGUGUGAACACGCUUGAAGUACAGCUCUAAAAGAGGAGAGAGUGAAGAGACGGAGAUAGACUAAAUCAGGAGUUUUACGCGACUAGUCUCGAUUUCAAGACGGAAUACGUCAGACCGAUAUCAUUCAAUGGCGAAGAGGGAUUUUCUGUCAGGUCUGGAGAGAAGACCCACCAGUACCGGGUUUUUUGUAAAAGUCGUGUUUCCUGUGACUGUCUGUGUUUUGUUCAUUAUAACUUGCCAUGUAAGCACUUAUUUGCUGUGAUGAGACUGAAUGGUGUGAAUUGGGGGUCAUUUACCGAGGAAUAGAGUGUGCAUCCCGAAUACCAAGAAGAGCUGUUCAACAAAAUCAAAGAAUUCGAGGCGAGAGUAUUGUAACUUGGAGCAAAGAAAAAACUGUCCUGGCUGUCCAAGAACAGGGCCGGAACACACAACCAGUGGUAGCAGGAAAUGCAACAAGCAGUGGCGUAACAAAAAAGAAGUCUUGAUCAGAGGGACUAUAAAAACAGGUUACCUCUUCCUGCAAAGAAGAGUAAAAAACGUUCCCCCACCUCACGUGCAGGCAGAUUAAAGAUCUUACUGUUUCUGAUGAUUGAGACUUUGAGUAAAAAUGUCAAUAUACAU